rfam:Emmonsia crescens TAMH 3008 supercont1.808, whole genome shotgun sequence.
AAACAGGCGGUUCUAACCGCCACCAAUUGCCUACUACUUGGUGCUGU